AAAAAUAUGACUUUCUUAUUAUUUUGGGUUCAGGUACACAUAUGAUAUGAAAAGUAUCAUGAUUGAUGAUUACAAAUACAUAUUAUAUGAUUCCAGGUGAUGGAGAAGGAUGAAUAAAACUACUAGUACUCUACCACUUGCUCUGUGGAAGAAGAAGGACUACUAUUAAAGAAAGAAAGUGUAGAGGGUCCAAAUUAACAGAUAUGACAUAUUGUGGGGCACAUACUUAAUAUGGAAUUUUCCAAGUCAGUAUCGGACCCCACAAUUCAUUAGUGAAACUUGCAUCAGUCAAUGGCUGAGUGUACUGAUAAUAAUGGGGUCAGGUUCCUCAGUUGACAUUUCAUGUCAAUAUAUACUUUCUAGUCACCAUUGUAAGAUAAGAGAGCAAGCACUGUUACAAGUAUCAAUGUACAUAGUUUUUACUAUUCACUAAUAAAAACCAACCUUGCUAAUUUAGAAAGAAAAACAUGAUAUUAUGAAAAACUCCUUUCAUUUUCUAUGCCUUGCUACUAGCUCUAAAGCUAGUUCACGUGUUAUGUUCUGAUGAACCCUACACGAGGUCACAAGUUCGGACAUCAUGUAUAAGCCUGUCUUAAGCCAUUGUCUCGGUUAUUAAAGUCACAC
rnacentral:lncRNA from 1 species